rnacentral:rRNA from 1 species
UACAGAGGUCUCAAGCGUUGUUCGGAUUCAUUGGGCGUAAAGGGUGCGUAGGCGGCGCGGUAAGUAGGGUGUGAAAUCUUGGAGCUUAACUCCGAAACUGCAUUCGAUACUGCCGUGCUUGAGGACUGGAGAGGAGACUGGAAUUUACGGUGUAGCGGUGAAAUGCGUAGAUAUCGUAAGGAAGACCAGUGGCGAAGGCGGGUCUCUGGACAGUUCCUGACGCUGAGGCACGAAGGCCAGGGGAGCAAACGGG